rnacentral:rRNA from 1 species
UGGGGAAUAUUGGACAAUGGACCGAGAGUCUGAUCCAGCAAUUCUGUGUGCACGAUGAAGUUUUUCGGAAUGUAAAGUGCUUUCAGUUGGGAAGAAAGAAAUGACGGUACCAGCAGAAGAAGUGACGGCUAAAUACGUGCCAGCAGCCGCGGUAAUACGUAUGUCACGAGCGUUAUCCGGAUUUAUUGGGCGUAAAGCGCGUCUAGGUGGUUAUGUAAGUCUGAUGUGAAAAUGCAGGGCUCAACUCUGUAUUGCGUUGGAAACUGUAUAACUAGAGUACUGGAGAGGUAAGCGGAACUACAAGUGUAGAGGUGAAAUUCGUAGAUAUUUGUAGGAAUGCCGAUGGGGAAGCCAGCUUACUGGACAGAUACUGACGCUAAAGCGCGAAAGCGUGGGUAGCAAACAGGAUUAGAUACCCUGGUAGUCCACGCUGUAAACGAUGAUUACUAGGUGUUGGGGGUCGAACCUCAGCGCCCAAGCAAACGCGAUAAGUAAUCCGCCUGGGGAGUACGUACGCAAGUAUG